rnacentral:rRNA from 1 species
UACGUAGGGGGCUAGCGUUGUCCGGAAUCAUUGGGCGUAAAGCGCGUGUAGGCGGUCCGGUAAGUCCGCUGUGAAAGUCGGGGGCUCAACCCUCGGAUGCCGGUGGAUACUGUCGGGCUUGAGUACGGAAGAGGCGAGUGGAAUUCCUGGUGUAGCGGUGAAAUGCGCAGAUAUCAGGAGGAAUACCUGCGGCGAAGGCGGCUUCCUGGCCCAUUACUGACGUUCAGGUACGAAAGCGUGGGUAGCAAACAGG